UCACUGGUCGGGCGCGACGCCCUUGCCACGGUCCUCUCUCUGCAGCCCUGAACCUACCACUGGAAAUAGAGUGGGGUGAGAACUAUCUUCCAUAGUUCCCAGUGGGCUCGGCCGCCGACUCUGCCGAUCUCCCCACUAGGUCCAAGUGGGCACAAGUAACAACAGAUAGAUAGAUAGAUAGAUAUGUAUCUGAAAGCUGUAAAUGCAGUAGUAGGAAAACUAUGCUACUAUGCCCAUAAUCAUAAAUAUGAAUGCAUGCAUCAUAUAAUAAAGGUUUGCUAUCAUGCUAACAAAUUCGAUCCAUGUUCGAAUAGCAAUGUUCAAUGACAUUAAUAACCUUUCUAUUUACCCAAUCUGUGGCGAGGCCCUAGGGCUCGCCCAUGACUCACCUUCAAAUCCCAAAGUGGGGAGGGAGCUCCAAGUGCACCCAAGCCCGGGACCGUCUGCGGACCUCCAUGUGGUCCGGACCUCCAAGUGGUCCUAGUCGCGCGACACUCCGGAGUACUCGACGACAAUCCCCUCCAUGUGGGGAUUGGAUGGCUAUGCCACCCUAAACGCAGACUGUGAGCUAGAUCUAUCCUCUCCAUGUGAGGAUACACUUGUUAACUAGGGGUCUACACUCAAUCCCAUCCCCUCCAAGUGAGGACGCCCUAUACUAGGGUCAACGACUAUCGCGGAAUCAUCGGUUCCCGACAUUCAUACAAUGCUAUUUAGUUUUCUAAAUUCAUUGUUCACAAGGCAUUUUCUAAGGGAUCCACCUAUCCCUAGGUCCAUCGACCUCUAGUGUUAUUUACACUACAUUAAUGCCACUCGUUAUCAUUCAAUGUUUGGAUGCCACUCGUUUGUUCUUCAACAAUAACACUACUUUCUAUGUCAUCAAUACCCCCAUCGGGUUCAUCUCUUUUCAUUCGCACCGUAGGAUCCACGUCUCGACCCAAUCCUCACCUAUCUAAAUUACCGAGCGUUCCCAAGUACACUAGGUCAUAAAUUAGAAAGCAUAAGGAAUGGAACUACUAUGCAAUCCUACCAUGCAACAUGAAGAGAUGAGAUUAAAUGCAAUCUAAGACAUAGAAAGGAGUUCGAAAGUUUCGGAUGACACCCUCCACCUUUAAUCAAUGUAGAGGUUUCGGAAAUCUCUCUUGGCGAGCUUUACGAAGAGGCUUUAGCCUUCCUCGCCCAAAUCCAGACUAUCCCGGCCCGAUUUUGCCGAGAACUUCACAUCGAUUCGCGGAAUGCCGAAAUCGACUUCGCCCCCGCGUUUUGGGACCUAUCAAUAGGGUUUCCGAGGCUUCAAAUGAGAUCAAUCUCAUACUUUUACAAAAGACCCCAUUUUGGAGCCCUAGGUUUGCAUCUAUAGCAAACCACCCGAUAAAUCCCUAGAUUCUUGGGAUUGAUCUAUUUAGAAUCUAGCUUAGGGUUCAUUUGACCCAUUCCAAAGCAUAAAACCCAAAAACCCUAAGUUCUAGGAGCUAGGGUUUGUAGCUUACCUCUUGAGCUACACCAAUGGGAAGAGGAGAGGGAGAGGAAGAUGCUCCUAGCUUCCUACUUCUUCUCCUCCUUCUUCUUCUUCUUCUCCUCCUUUUUCUUCUUCUCUUUCUUCUUCUCCUUCUUUGUUAUCUCUAGAGAAAGAGAUAGAGCAAGAGAGAAAUGAGAGUGAGAGAGAGUGAAAUGAGAGAGUGUGAGGGAAAGAGAGGGCUCAGCCCACUCAAAUAAAGGCCAUUUUGCAUAAAAGCCCCUCAACUUUCACUCCUGUGCACUGCCCUCACUGGGCAGUUUUCGCGUGGAGGGACCGGUCUCCCCGACCUGGGACCGAUCCUCUAGAGCUUCCCUCGGGCGCACGCAUUCGGGAACCGGUCUCUCCCCGGGAGACCGGUCCUCUGGAGACCGGUCUUCGCCUGAGAGACCGGUCCCCGAGAGCUCGAUUUUCAGGACUUAUCUAAUUUUUUUGGCACUUCUCGCUGGGACCACGUUCGGGAACCGGUCCCUCCCUGCAAGGGACCGGUUGCAUCACGCAACCCCGCUACGCCCAGCCAGGGGAACCGGUCUCUCAACUGCAGAGACCGGUCCCCGAGAGCAACAUCAGCCCAAUGAUGCAGUUUGCCUUAUUUGCUCUCGCGGACUCAACUCCAAGGCACUUUUUGUGCUUUGGACAUUCUUAACUCCCACAAAGGGUAUACUUUCGACAAGUAGUCGAUCCUGGAUGAAGUACAAUCCUCGUAUUUCGAGAAUUCACUUCCUUACAAAGAAAGAGAUGGGCUGACCAAGGCUUACAACUCUUUACUUUAGAAGUGUUCGUUACUUGAAAAAGAAAAAGAGACUCAGGUGGAGAACAUCAAUUUUCUUACCAAGCAAAACUCAGAAGCUAGAGAAGCAAAUAUGGAAUUCACCAAGACAAUCAUUCAACUGAAGUUGGAUUUGAACCAAUUUUCGUCUGGCUCGAGCAAACUAGACAAGAUACUUGGACUUGGUGUCACGCCCCGCCCCGCAACCACUACCAAUUUGGCACGAUUCGGCCGCGGCGACGGACCGCCGAACGGACAGCAUCUUCCUUGUCCGCCCAAGGCUCAACGACAGGAAUGUGUACGAGAAUUUACCCAGGACUUUAAAUUCUAAGCAUACACAUUCAACGAGGGCACAAAUAGUGCCAACAACAAGAAGAGCAAGUAAUCCACAAGAUAUACGAGUGAAAUAAAGAGAGUACUUUACUAACUAUUACAAUAGUUGCAUUCCUUACAUCAUUUUUCAUCCAAAAUACAUAGAUCUCCAAAUCCUCACCUACAAUAAAUCUCUCUCUAUACAUAGGUGACUAAGGCAAAAGGAAAAGCUACUAUACUACCACGGUCUCACUGGUCGGGCGCGACGCCCUUGCCGCGGUCCUCUCUCUGCAGCCCUGAACCUACCACUGGAAAUAGAGUGGGGUGAGAACUAUCUUCCAUAGUUCCCAGUGGGCUCGGCCGCCGACUCUGCCGAUCUCCCCACUAGGUCCAAGUGGGCACAAGUAACAACAGAUAGAUAGAUAGAUAUGUAUCUGAAAGCUGUAAAUGCAGUAGUAGGAAAACUAUGCUACUAUGCCCAUAAUCAUGAAUAUGAAUGCAUGCAUCAUAUAAUAAAGGUUUGCUAUCAUGCUAACAAAUUCGAUCCAUGUUCGAAUAGCAAUGUUCAAUGACAUUAAUAACCUUUCCAUUUACCCAAUCUGUGGCGAGGCCCUAGGGCUCGCCCAUGACUCACCUUCAAAUCCCAAAGUGGGGAGGGAGCUCCAAGUGCACCCAAGCCCGGGACCGUCUGCGGACCUCCAUGUGGUCCGGACCUCCAAGUGGUCCUAGUCGCGCGACACUCCGGAGUACUCGACGACAAUCCCCUCCAUGUGGGGAUUGGAUGGCUAUACCAUCCUAAACGCAGACUGUGAGCUAGAUCUAUCCUCUCCAAGUGAGGAUACACUGUAACUAGGGUCUACACCCAAUCCAAUCCCCUCCAAGUGAGGACGCCCUAUACUAGGGUCAACGACUAUCGCGGAAUCAUCGGUUCCCGACAUUCAUGCAAUGCUAUUUAGCUUUCUAAAUUCAUUGUUCACAAGGCAUUUUCUAAAGGAUCCACCUAUCCCUAGGUCCAUCAACCUCUAAUGUUAUUUACACUACAUUAAUGCCACUCGUUAUCAUUCAAUGUUUGGAUGCCACUCGUUUGUUCUUCAACAAUAACACUACUUUCUAUGUCAUCAAUACCCCCAUCGGGUUCAUCUCUUUUCAUUCGCACCGUAGGAUCCACGUCUCGACCCAAUCCUCACCUAUCUAAAUUACCGAGCGUUCCCAAGUACACUAGGUCAUAAAUUAGAAAGUAUAAGGAAUGGAACUACUAUGCAAUCCUACCAUGCAACAUGAAGAGAUGAAAUUAAAUGCAAUCUAAGACAUAGAAUGGAGUUCGAAAGUUUCGGAUGAC
rnacentral:lncRNA from 1 species